CUGAUUUGUUUUUGUUAGUGAGUUCAAAGUUUGUUUUUGCUUUUUAUUUGUUUUUGUUUCAUUUUGUUUUUUUUCCCAGUGAAGAAACUAUCAGGUCUGGUAAGAAUAAGAGGAAACAAAAUGUUAUUGGCAUGCUCAAUAAUGAUAAAGCCAAGAUGUCACCUGCCAGUACAAUGAAGAGGGACUGGGGUCUUGGCACUAAAAGGUGCAACUGAAGGAACAGAGAAACUGUGUAAUUGUAAAACCUCCUUGUGGCCCCACAUGGCUCAUACUCAAAUGAUUCCAGUGUCUAUGGCCUGAGAAGUGCUUCAUGAAAUGAGGUGAUUAUCUUGACUACAUGAGGGGAUAACUUUGGAAAUGUGCUUAAAGUUCAAAAGUGCUCUUGAAAAGGCAUCAAGUCAACUCAGAGGCAAUGUUGGAGCUUAUCUGUAGCAUUUCCCCCGGCUUGGACAAGAAUACGGCAUCAUUAUCUAAACACAAAGCCAAAUGAACAGUGCCUCAAGUCAGAGAUUGGCAUGGUGAGUCGCCGGGAGGUGGAAAAGAGGCACAGCUUCAUUGAAGCUACAGUUGGCUGCAAGGAACCAUUUCAAAUCAUCUUAGUUCUACGGGGCCAUUCAGGUGGCAAAGGCCCAGGUAACAUUUGAUCAAGUUGCUACAGGGCUUGGACCUACUUUUAUUGCCCCUUACUUUUCCCACUAACAUUUUUGCUUGAAAUAUCGAUGUUUUUUUGGUGCAGCAAAACUCUUUUCCCACAGCUAAAUUGAAGUAGGGCAUAUGUGCUUCCCUCACCUCGCUCCCAGUCCCUCUUGACCCCGAAAUGGUCUAGCAGCCUGUGCUUUGUUAAACUGAAAAUGUGUAGAAAUUUUUAUAGAGAUAUUCAGCUAUAUAAAUAGCUUUGAAAUUUGUCAUAACUUUAAAAACAGGUCAAAAAGGAAAUUGAACAGCUAGUGAGUUUCUGUCUUAGUCCGUUUUGUGCUGCUAUAACAGAAUACCAUAAACUAGGUAAUUUAUAAACAAUAGAAGUUUAUUUGUCUCAAUGGCCAACAAGCAUAUGGAAAAAUGUUCAACAUCACUAAUUAUCAGGGAAAUACAAAUCAAAACCACAGUGCGAUACCACGUAACUUCUGCAAUAAUGGUCAUAAUCAAAAAAUAAUAAUAAAUAAAUAGAUGUUGGCAUGGAUAUGGUGAAAAGGGAACACUUUUACUGGGUUGGUGGGAAUGUAAACUAGCACAACCACUAUAGAAAACAGUAUGGAGACUCCUUAAAGAACUAAAAGUAGACCUACCAUUUGACCUAGCAACCCCACUGCUAUGUAUCUGCUCAGAAGUAAAGAAGUCAUUAUACAAAAAAGACACUUGUUACAUGCAUGUAUAUAGCAGUACAAUUGCCCAAAUGCCCAUCAAUCAAUGAGUGGAUAAAAAAUGUUAUAUACAUACAUAUAUGUGUGUGUAUAUAUACAUAUACAUAUACACACACACACACAUACACACACACACACACACACACACACAUAUACCAUGGAAUACUGCUCAGCCAAAGAAAGGAAUGAAAUAAUGGGAUUUGCAGCAACCUGGAUGGAAUUGGAGGCUAUUAUUCUAAGUGAAGUAACUCAGGAAUAGAUAACCAAACAUACAUGUUCUCACUCAUAUGUGGGAACUAAGCUAUGAGAAUGCAAAGGCAUAAGAAUGAUAUAUUGGAGUUUGGAGACUCAAAGGAAAGAGUGGGGGAGAGGGAGGGAUAAAAGACUACACAUUGGGUACAGUAUACAAUGCUUGAGUGAUGGGUGCAACAAAAUCUCAGAAAUCCCCACUAAUGAGCAUAUUCAUGUAACAAAAUACCAUCUGUUCCCCAAAACUUAUUGAAAUAAAAAAUAAAAAAUUAAUGAUAAUAACAAUAAAAAGAAGUUUAUUUGUCUUAUGUUUCUGGAGGCCAGGAAGUCCAAGAUCAAGGGGUUGCAUCUAGUGGGGGUCUUCUUGCUGAGUCAUAACCUGGCAGAAGACAUCACAUGAAGAGAGAAUGGAUGAGAGCCAGCAAGCAAGAGAGGGCCAAACUUGCUUUUAUAACAAACCCAUUCCUGACAUCAUGAACUUACCCCUGCCAUAAUGACAUUAAUCCAUUCCAGGGGGCAAAGCUCUCAUGACCUAAUCACCUCUCAAAAGUGCCACCUCUCGAUGCUGUUGCAUUGGGGAUUAAGUUUCCAACACAUGAACUCUGGGGAGAUGCAUUCAAACCUUAGCAGUUUAA
rnacentral:lncRNA from 10 species